AACUGACUUCUAGCCAAUGCUCCUGCCCCAUAACCACAGUGUAGAGCAAUAACUUCUUCACCAAAUGCAUAUUUUAUACCAGAGCAAUAACUUCUUCACCAAAUGCAUAUUUUAUCCAAUGCUCCGGGCCGCGCGCGCCUCCUCCGGCUGGGAUCCCGGCGGCUGCUGCUGCGUCCAACACGGCCUCCUCCCCGGCCGGGAUCUAGUCGAAAUGACCAUUCAAGUCGACAUCGACUUUGAGACUUAUAGACUAGUCACACGACUAGUCUUAGACUCAUAAUCGGAGGAUGUACAUGAAGUUUUUUGCAGAGAGAAGAAAAAUGGAUAUUUCGCAGCCUUUGGCUUGCACGAGUUUCAUGGCAAGCCUGGACAUAGAUGCCUCGUCAUAGCAAAAUUCCUUUCUUCGAAAAGGCAGAUCCAUAUCAAAUUUGACGGAUCUACAAAAAAUCUCAUGCUUUCAAGUUUGUGGCCGCGCAAACUGUACAAUGGAGUACCGAAAUUUAUCUCAUCUAAACCGAGAGCAAGCAAGAUCACGGCAUAACUGGAAUUGUCGAACCAGCAGCACCAACUAUAGUUCGACUUCACUCUCCGUUUCACGAACAGAUAAAUCAAGAGAUUUUGGGCCAAAAUAAAACAUGCACGUAAUAUUAAGUUAUCUUCGUUGUGAGAUUUUGGACCAAAAUAAA